GAUGAACGCUGGCGGCGUGCCUAAUACAUGCAAGUCGAGCGAACGGACGAGAAGCUUGCUUUUCUGAUGUUAGCGGCGGACGGGUGAGUAACACGUGGAUAACCUACCUAUAAGACUGGGAUAACUUCGGGAAACCGGAGCUAAUACCGGAUAAUAUUUUGAACCGCAUGGUUCAAAAGUGAAAGACGGUCUUGCUGUCACUUAUAGAUGGAUCCGCGCUGCAUUAGCUAGUUGGUAAGGUAACGGCUUACCAAGGCAACGAUGCAUAGCCGACCUGAGAGGGAGAAGGACCACAUGGGAACGGAGACCCGGUCACGACUCGACCGGGAGGCAGCAGAGGGGACUAUGCCGCGAUGGGGGAAGGCAUGACGGGGCAGGGCCGCGAGCGUGAUGAAGGUCUGCGGAGCGAAAAACUCUGUUAUUAGGGAAGAAAAUAUGUUUAAGUAACUGCGAAAAUGUCGGCGCCCCCAAAAGAGAAACCGGCGAAUAUCGUG
rnacentral:rRNA from 1 species